rnacentral:rRNA from 1 species
CCUACGGGAGGCAGCAGUGGGGAAUAUUGGGCAAUGGGCGCAAGCCUGACCCAGCAACGCCGCGUGAAGGAAGAAGGCUUUCGGGUUGUAAACUUCUUUUCUCAGGGACGAAGAAAGUGACGGUACCUGAGGAAUAAGCCACGGCUAACUACGUGCCAGCAGCCGCGGUAAUACGUAGGUGGCAAGCGUUAUCCGGAUUUAUUGGGUGUAAAGGGCGUGUAGGCGGGGGCGCAAGUCAGAUGUGAAAACUACGGGCUCAACCUGUGGCCUGCAUUUGAAACUGUUUUUCUUGAGUGCUGGAGAGGCAGUCGGAAUUCCGAGUGUAGCGGUGAAAUGCGUAGAUAUUAGGAGGAACACCAGUGGCGAAGGCGGUCUGCUGGACAGCAACUGACGCUGAGGCGCGAAAGCGUGGGGAGCAAACAGGAUUAGAUACCCGGGUAGUC